rnacentral:tRNA from 1 species
GCCUCCGUGGUGUAGUGGUCAGCACACUCGGCGCGUAAUCAAGAAGUCCGGGGUUCGAGUCCUGGCGAGGGCA